UACGGAGGGUGCAAGCGUUAAUCGGAAUUACUGGGCGUAAAGGGUGCGUAGGUUGUUAAGUAAGUUAUCUGUGAAAUCCCCGGGCUCAACCUGGGCAGGUCAGAUAAUACUGCAUGACUCGAGUAUAGGAGAGGGUAGUGGAAUUUCCGGUGUAGCGGUGAAAUGCGUAGAGAUCGGAAGGAACACCAGUGGCGAAGGCGGCUACCUGGCCAAAUACUGACACUGAGGUACGAAAGCGUGGGGAGCAAACAGG
rnacentral:rRNA from 1 species